AGGUGUGGCUCAGUUUGGUAGAGCGCUGCGUUCGGGACGCAGAGGUCGCAGGUUCAAAUCCUGUCACCU
rnacentral:tRNA from 4 species